AUUCACUUGAAAAACAGUGAUCACUAUGCCAUCUAUGACUUCCACUGCACGAGCAUGAUAUGACGUUUUGAUAUUCAUUAACAGUGCUAGUCUAAUUUUAGUUGGAAAUGCUGAUUUCAAACUUUCGAGUACAAGUGAUCGGACGUGAAUUUGUGUCUUGGGGUUUAUCUAGUCAAGUUAACUAACUCGCAGUUAAAAAAUGGAGAUGAUGAUCGAAAGUUAUUUCAAUUUGCAUUACUAUGGGUAUGGAAAAGAAGAAUAUUAUUCCGAUUGUGAAGAUGUUGAUACUGAAAGUGAACCAGAAGAACCUCCCGAAGAGGAGGAACUGGUAAACCGUGAGUUUCCUUUCGAUGACGACGUAUUUUAUAUCAACCUCAAAGCUCCUAGAGCCAGAACUGGCUGGGACAAUCUUCCAAUGGAAAUUCUGAUCCGCAUCUUCAGUUUCAUCAGACCGAGCGAUCGCAAUUCAGCUGCGCUCACGUGUCACCGUUGGUUUGAAGCAUUGCGCCACCCAUUGUUUCUCGGCGCCACAUGCUUCCAUUUUGAACGAAUCGAAGUUUCCGACAGCAAAUCGCCCAUCCAAAUCUUCUUGGAUAGCUUUCGGCACUUUAGCAAUAUCAAGCUAACCCGGGUCGAGUUCAGCGGUCAAAGCGAAUUCUGGAACUACUUUGGAGAGCACAUCAGGGAGAUAACGUUCGACAACUGCGCACUUACAAAACCGAAACUGUCGAACAUCUUGGGCUGCAUGCCAAAUCUAGAACGCUUAAAUAUAGUCGAUUGCGACGAGUUGUUCAAAAGUUGGAAUCCUGUGAUCUUUCAAAAGAUCAGUCCGAUCUGUAGGCGCCUGAAGCACCUCGGUCUUCGAAAAAUCAGUGCCUUGAACGAAGACCAUCUGAACUAUUUGGUAGCAAUGGCUCCUCACAUGACUUCCUUAGAAAUUUCCAAAUGCCUGAGAGACAUGGAAGCUGUCCAGCGAGUCAAAAUUCUAUCCCACAUUCUACGCAUCCUCAAUAACUAUAAACACCAGAUGCGAUCGGUAAACUUCAGCUACACCAUGUACGAUGAUCUAUUCCUGAAGCAGUUUGCCGAAAUUGAAAACAUGUCUCUGAGUAACAUCAGCUUGUCAUUCUUCGAGAGAGCACCAAUCAAGGAUCCUGCAAUAAUCGACGUUUUGAGGAAACAUACCAAUCUGGUUCACUUGGAUUUGACGUCGUUCCUGAAUCUGACCGACUUUGCUCUGAUCGAAAUUGCUGACUCGAUGCCCCUGCUUAGCACAUUGAAACUGAACGGUUGUUGGCUUCUGACCGAUUUUGGAAUAUCGGCCAUCAGAAAAUUACGCAAACUUGUCAUACUGGAUCUGUCGGAUUGUGAUCGUGUUACGGAUGAUGGAUUUCUGAAAGCGAUUGUCGAUAAGGAUAGGGCAAAUAUGAAGGAGCUGCACCUGAGCAUGCUUCCGGGCAUAACGGAGAAUGUGAUCCUGAAGAUUUGCCUGACGUUGGCUAAUCUGACGGUGUUGGAUUUCUGUGGGUCGGAUUGCAUCAACGACACAUCGCUGCAAUUUGUGUUUUGCUAUUUGCGACUGGUUCGGGUGCUGCGAUUAAAUGGAUGUGUGAAGAUUACAGAUGCCGGCCUCACCGGGCUGGACCUGCAGCGUGCUGCUAUUGAAAUAUGGGACGAACAGCAAACGUUUUCGAUCGAUAUGCUCCACGGACUACAAGAGCUUCAGAUAUCCGGAUGCUUCAAAGUGACGGACAUCAGCCUUACCCGUUGCUUCAAGCUGCUUGAACUACAGCAAAUCAAUCUGUCCCAUUGUGUUAACAUUUCAGAUGAAGGCAUCAUUGCCAUGGCUAUGGGCUGCCCCUCGCUAGAGGUGAUAGAUCUAAGUGACUGUUACCGCAUAUGCGACCCGUCCAUCGAAGCACUGACCAAGUAUCUGAUACGCCUGACCAGCGUGAAACUCGUUCGUCUACCGCAGCUGACCACCGAGAGUAUCUACUCGAUUCUUGCCAACUGCAAACGACUGAAGAACAUAAACCUUCGAGGAUGUUGCAAGUUGCCACGCAGUGCCAUCGAUCUACUGGCCAAGAUGAAGUGCCUCCGAGAUGUGCCCAAGUAUUAGACCUUUUUUCCGUUCCAUGUUCGUCCGUUGUUGUCCGUUUUGCGUUUGAUGUUGAACGUGGUCUUCGCGUCUGUAACAUGCUGCCAGCAGUUUGCUUUGGAAUAAAUAACUAUUACGCUUAGCCCUCAUUCAUCAGCCGCCACCCAUGGAUUGGAUAGUUGUGAUAGGUUACUAAUGCAAAUAUAGAAAUAUACACUUUGAACUCAAC